AUCGAUCACAGAUUUACUGAGGCAGAGAUGGAGAAGACGAGUGCGGCAUAUUUUUCACCCGCUGAGCAGCAACUAAUUAUGGAAAUGUAUGAGGAGGUAAAGCAUAUAAUAUGCAGAAAAGGAAAUACGGCUGCUGUUAUUAAACAGAGAGAAAAAGCCUGGCAAACAAUAGUGGACCGACUGAAUGCAACAAAUGUGACUGGGCAAAAAUGAACCUGGCAACAAGUCAAGAUCAAAUAUAAAAACUGUUUGCAGGCUGCAGUUAGAAGACUCAUUUGUCUGGCACUGGGGGGGGGGGGCACCAGCUCCAGACUUCACCCCAGCUGAGGAAACGGCCCUUGACUUAAACCAAGGAAGGCCUGUGAUGGAAGGGAUUCAGGGUGGGACAGCUAUAGACUCUGAUUCACCUGCAGAAACUGCCCUCUUCAUACGAGUGUCCGGCGACACAGUCACUCUCAUGCCACCAGACGAUGAUCCAGGGGAAGGGGCUGCUGCAGCUGAUGAUGAGGAGAUGUGUCACUGGACUCCAGAAGGCCUGAGGUAUCAUGUCAAUCUAAUGGAAAUGCAUAUUUAGCCCAUAAUGGAUGAGAAGUCAGUGAUGAAGCACUAAAAUGUAUGUAUGUAACAGGAUCCAGACGCAGUACAGUAUGACAGCCAGCCUGGCAACAUAGUAAGUACGGGCUAAUGGCAAUCUGAAUUAUGCACAAUUCCUGCUGUGCUAAUCAAUGGGUGGUUUACAGAAUUCACUAACUGUAAGAUGCCUGUAUACAUGACAUCUGAACAAGCAAAUAGAGCUGGCAGAUGCACAGAUUGCUGUAAGUAAAAGGACUCUCCAGGAUCUGGACCUUGGUAUAGAAAUCAAGAAGAGAACACUGAGGAAACUAGAUCUGGAGAUCCAGAAACUAGAAAAAGAAGUAAGUGACUUCAAUCCACACAGUUUUACAGAUGUGCUUACAAUGUAUUAAUCAUGUUUUUCUUUCUCUCUCCCAAGCUCCAAACUGACAAGGGACAGCACUAAAAUAAGAAGCAUUGUGGUGUUCCCUGUGUGAUGAAUGUACACUACACUAUGCAAAGUUAUUGGUUCAGUGAGGUGAGACGAAAAUUGAGGUUAUGAAACCAAAGUAAGCUACUAUAAUAUCAAAAAACAUUAGGCCUAAUUAAGGAGUAACACAAACAAUCCUUUAUUAGAGAAGGACAAGACAAUGAAAUCAUUUAUCUGAAAUAAUUUAUGUAUUGGUCUCUGACCAGCCUGCCAUUAAUGUCAUCUGGGAAUAUAGCUGCAUUGUCCCACUCAAUCUCCGGUGCCACUGCUGGACCCCUUUCCUUCCUCAGACAGGUAAUAUUAUGUAGGACCGUGCAGGCUACAGUAAUGUCACAGGCCCUGUCUGGGGUGACCCUCAGGUGGUGGAGACACUGAAAUCAUGACUUGAGAAGGCCAAAUGCCAUCUCAAUUCCGGCCCUUGUUCUUGCAUGGGGAAGAUUGUAUCCUUGCUGUGCUGCUGUCUGAGGGUCUGCAAGGGGAGUGAGAAGGUAUGUCUCACAGGCAUAACCCUUGUCUCCCAGCAGAACGCCAGAGAAUUCACCUGAGAAUACAAAAUGUAAUCAUUACAACUACACAUAAGUAAAACCUUUGACGCAAUUGUGUUUAUCAGGAAAAUGUGUGUGGCCUACCUUGUGAUAGUCGCUGGGAAAUGGUACUGGACCUAAAAACUCGGGAGUCAUGGACAGACCCAGGCCACUUUGCCUCCACAUUGGUAAUGAUGCAGGCAGCAUCACAGAUCAUCUGAAACAAUGCAGUGUUUCCUAUUCAGUAUACAUGUCAUGCACAGAAUACAUUUGGGC
ensembl:lncRNA